rnacentral:rRNA from 1 species
AACGUAGGGGGCGAGCGUUGUCCGGAAUUACUGGGCGUAAAGGGUGCGUAGGCGGCCGCUUAAGUCCUGUGUGAAAGGCCCCGGCUUAACCGGGGAGGGUCAUGGGAAACUGGGCGGCUUGAGUGCCGGAGAGGGUGGCGGAAUUCCCGGUGUAGCGGUGAAAUGCGUAGAGAUCGGGAGGAACACCAGUGGCGAAGGCGGCCACCUGGACGGCAACUGACGCUGAGGCACGACAGCUGGGGGAGCAAACAGG